GGCGUAUUUAUGUGAGUAGAGAGCGCGUAGCAUGUCGUCACGCACACUGAGGGUUACCGACUAUCAAAUUAUAUGAUGUAGGACAAUUUUUUCACGUUUCAUUUCAUUAGAUAUAUAAUAAAACAAUGCCUCGACCAGCGGUCUAUAUAUAGUAUAUAUACGACGGAGUCGUCGUACGGCGGCGGUGGCAUAUUAAUGCGACAAUGUGGUCAGCAGUAGCCGUACGAG